rnacentral:lncRNA from 1 species
GACCAUCUUCAUCCUUCAUUCACUUAGAUUUACAACAGAAGCCCUCUCUCUCCUAAGCUCAAUGCUCCAACUCCUUUGCUCAAAUUCUUUAUGAUUCCUUGAGGGUUUUGGCUCUAGAGAGUGUGAGAAAGCUCAAGAAGAUCAUUCUGAUAUGUUCUUGUGCACUUGUUGAAUCCCUAGCCGCUUGUGUAUCCGUUACUCUUGGAGCUUGGCUCCUAGAUAGCUAGUGGUCGCCUGGGAGCUCCCAAUCCUCUGUGGUCAAACACCAAGAAGUUUGUAUUACCCUUUCUGAAUUAGUGAAACCCUCUGACCUAUUGCUUUGGUGAUAGGUUGGAGAAGAGGAGUGAGUUGCAAGAGACUCCAUAGACUUUGUGGCUAACCUCAACAACGGGGAGUAGGCCAACCUUUGUGGCGAAUUGAACCACAUAUAAAUUCUCG